AAUUAGCAUCAUCGGUAACAGCUGAGUUGACCCGACUAUUUCAUGUCAUGGCACACUGUGAUUUAAAUGUUGUUGUUGUAGUUGAUGUAACACAGCUUACGUCAUGAUGACAGUUGAUCCUGAACAAAGCAGCAGUGAUGUGGUGGGAGGAAAGAAAAGCCAGCGAUAGCAGCAAUCUCCGAUGAGCUGGUGAACUGCCAAACAUGUCUGCAGCUUCACAGAGAGAGGCACUGGCAGUUGGUGAGAGGAUUGUGCCACGUGGGGGGGAACCCACGACCACCACAUUCACACAUAAAAAAAAAAGACAAAUGGCAUCAGAGAGUCACGUACUGAAUUUCUUUCCACCGAGAAUGCUUGUCAUAUUAUUGGUCGGGCUCCGCCAGCUGAUGUCGAGAUGGUUAAAUAACAAAGAUUCAGCAAAUUGUGAUACAUGUUUUA